rnacentral:rRNA from 1 species
AUUGAACGCUGGCGGCAGGCCUAACACAUGCAAGUCGAGCGGAUGAAUAGAGCUUGCUCCUGUAUUCAGCUGCGGACGGGUGAGUAAUUCCUAGGAAUCUGCCUGGUAGUGGGGGAUAACGUCCGUAAACGGGCGCUAAUACCUCAUACGACCUGAUGUAGAAAGGGGGGGAUCUUCGGACCUCACGCGAUCAGAUAAGCCUAGGUCGGAUUAGCUAGUUGGUUGGGUAAAGGCCUACCAAGGCGACGAUCCGUAACUGGUCUGAGAGGAUGAUCAGUCACACUGGAACUGAGACACGGUCCAGACUCCUACGGGAGGCAGCAGUGGGGAAUAUUGGACAAUGGGCGAAAGCCUGAUGCAGCCAUGCCGCGUGUGUGAAGAAGGUCUUCGGAUUGUAAAGCACUUUAAGUUGGGAGGAAGGGCAGUAAGUUAAUACCUUGCUGUUUUGACGUUACCAACAGAAUAAGCACCGGCUAACUUCGUG